CAUGGCUGUCGUCAGCUCGUGUUGUGAAAUGUUGGGUUAAGUCCCGCAACGAGCGCAACCCUUAUCCUUAGUUGCCAGCGAGUAAUGUCGGGAACUCUAGGGAGACUGCCGGUGAUAAACCGGAGGAAGGUGGGGACGACGUCAAGUCAUCAUGGCCCUUACGAGUAGGGCUACACACGUGCUACAAUGGUACGUACAGAGGGAGGCAAGCUGGCGACAGUGAGCGGAUCUCUUAAAGCGUAUCGUAGUCCGGAUCGCAGUCUGCAACUCGACUGCGUGAAGUCGGAAUCGCUAGUAAUCGCAAAUCA
rnacentral:rRNA from 1 species